rnacentral:rRNA from 1 species
CCCUUAGAUGUUCUGGGCCGCACGCGCGCUACACUGAUUCAUGCAACAAGUUUUGUCCUUGGCUGAUAGGCCUGGGUAAUCUUUGAACGUGAAUCGUGAUGGGGAUAGAUGAUUGCAAUUAUUCAUCUUCAACGAGGAAUUCCUAGUAAACGCAAGUCAUCAGCUUGCAUUGAUUACGUCCCUGCCCUUUGUACACACCGCCCGUCGCACCUACCGAUUGAAUGGUCCGGUGAAAUCUUCGGAUCUGAGAGAUGUCUGAUUAAUUUCGGACGCCUUUUGGAAAAGUUGUUUGAACCUUACCAUUUAGAGGAAGGUGAAGUCGUAACA